UGCCAUCCAGGAAAAUCUAACUCCCCAUGUGGAGGGAGCCCUAAAGAGCCCUUGUGAGAGCUCACAGCUUCAGCACUCUCCACCGUCAUCACAAUUUUGCUCAGUUUUUCAGGCCACAGCAACACAACUUAGUUCUCACUUGCACUUUUAGCCUCCUGGGGAAGCCUAUUAUCUUCUGCAUGUACUAGGUUCUACCAUAAACAAAGAUCACCCGGCAUCAUGUUGUUCUAAUGCAGACAACUUCAAGGAACAUCCACAACUUGAACUCUAGAAUCCAGCAUUGGUUACCACAGAAUCUGAGCAUCAUGAUGUCUAUUCACCUAAGGUCAAGAUCACCAUAGCACUAUGGGCAUUCCAGAACAUUGGGUCAUAAACUGUAGGUAUUAUCUCCAGGUGCCAGCUCUGCAACAAGACAGGUUUCCACAGCAUUCCGGUAGUCAAGACCCAGCCUGCCUCAGCUUGGACCCAUCAGCCAGGAGCUGUAACUAUUUGUUUUCUGUGACCAGGCAAAAACAAAUUGGAUAUUAGAGUAGUCAACUUUCCAUUCUUAUAACACGUACCAUCGCACUAACAUUUCAAUAGAAUAUGUUUAUUCUGGCCAGGUUUUAGAAGUCUCAAUCUAGUUCAUUGGCUCUGCUGUUUGGGCCCCAUGGCAAGGCGUAUGAUGGAAGAAGGUGGUCCACUUAUUGCAACAAAUACAGAGCCAUCCCCAGGACAGUAAAUAAAAGAGGAUCUCCAUAAGGAUUAAAGAAAAUAUCAGCAGAGGUGUUGAGGGGAGAGAGGCAACAACACAUCUUGUGAGGUUACCAACAUGGCUACAGAGAAAGUGCCUGAUACUUGAGUGUGAAGAUCCAAGUCCAGAUACCCAGCAACCAUGGGAAACCAUGACAAGGUUGACUCCAAGCUCACCACUUAGCCUAGGUUGGCUGUGAAGAUCUGACCUUCCUUCCUCUACAUCUCAAGUUCUGAGGUUAAAGGUGUGUGCUACCAGGUCCAACUAUAGAAUCUAGAGACUUAUUCCUGAUCUAGAUUUAAAUCAUCCCGAGUAAAGAAAAUAUGUACUGUAUUUGAUGUUUGUAACCAUCAUCUAUGGACAAGAUAUUUCACUUUCUGGACUAUCAUUCUCCAAACCCUGAAGUUUAAACCAAGGCUCAACAAGCUUACCAGAUCUGGAGAGAUGCUGCCAAGACUGCCUCUGGAUGCUCCAGCGACCCAACCAGGUGUUCUCCCUGCUACAUUCCAGGUAAAUGUAGGUCUCGCCCCUCAACAAGGAAACUUCUCUUUGCUACAGUGGGAGACCAUUACAGAAAACCAUAAUCAGUUAAGACACAGCGUUGUGGACCUGAGGAUGCAUCUACAACACCAACACCCAGAACCAAGGCUCAGGGAUCUUUUCAGAAGACAAGGUGGGAAGAUUGUAAGAGCCAGAGGAACAGGGAGUUUGUGUGAGACUGUGUCUCCAGAAUGUCAGCAGCUACACCUGUAGAAUCUUACCAGCAUGACUGUCUAAGCAUGAGCUGAACAAGAACAACAACAGACACACCAGAGUGAAUGGGGAAAGCCCAGGAGGCCUUGCAGAAAAACUACAGACAACUAGGAAAUGCAGGAGAAAAAGUCUUUGCCAGGGAAGAGAACACCAUUUUGUUAUACCACACCAAAUGGCCAGCCUGAAAAUAUAAUAGUAGUGAUAUUAUAUAGAAUGAACAGGUUAUAUUUAUGCAUUUAGGGAUGCAUAGAUACAUAUGUGUACAAGUAUGUAUGUAUGUAUGUAUGUAAUAAU